ACAAGGAAGAAAAUGCAAAUCGGCACAGAUUAUUUUGCCUCAGUGACCCUGCCACUUUCAUAGCCAGAGGGAUGCUCUGAUUAUAAAGAAGCAAUUUGGAGCCGCAGGAGGGUCAAGCUGGCCAUUGUGUAGGUGUUGAAGAGGGCUGCUGACCAAGCUGGUGCAGGGACUAUCUGGCCUUCUUCCGUGCCUGUCUUCAUCCAGCCAAGGCCCCCGUCAUGCUGUACACCUGAGAUCUGUAGCUUCUGAGGUCAGAGGACGACCUCUGGGAGUCUGUUCUUGCUCUUUGCUUAAUCACAAGAAAAACAUGAGACAAAUUCCAACAGAAGGGCAUCUUACAUCAUCAAAAUUAACAAUCACUAGGAACAAAGAACAUCUGAGAGAUAGGCACAGUCAACAGGAGCCUAAGGACACAUUCGACUGAAUGUGAUAGGAGCCUAAGGACCCUGCUUAAGAUCCUGGAGCAGCAA